rnacentral:rRNA from 1 species
UACGGAGGGUGCAAGCGUUAAUCGGAAUUACUGGGCGUAAAGCGUGCGCAGGCGGUUUGUUAAGUCUGUUGUGAAAUCCCCGAGCUCAACUUGGGAAUUGCAAUGGAUACUGGCAGGCUGGAGUACGGUAGAGGAAGGUGGAAUUCCCGGUGUAGCAGUGAAAUGCGUAGAGAUCGGGAGGAACACCAGUGGCGAAGGCGGCCUUCUGGACCAGUACUGACGCUCAUGCACGAAAGCGUGGGGAGCAAACAGG